rnacentral:lncRNA from 1 species
GAUUGGUUGCGGCAGCGGAGAGCGAUGGCGACGGGACGCAGCAGAGACGACAAAGGAUGGCGAUGAGUAGGUGGUCAAGUCGACUGAGGAGCUUAAGAUGCCUAGGGAUUUUAGGGGAAAUUUAGGGAUUAGGGGAAAUGCAAAGAAUUGGGGAAAUGUGUUUUGGGGUUUUGUUAAAAUGGCUAAGUGUUUGGGAAAUUUUGUUUUGGGCUUUUGGGGGAAAUGGCUAAGUGUCAGACAUGACACAAGAAGAUGAAAUUUAAGAAAGGAAAAAGAUGCCGUUUUCGUUAAACUAUAGUGUUUUUUGCGGCCUUUUUUUAAAAAACGCCACUAAUCUCUUAGUUUUCAUAUUUAUUUUUGUUUGUUAUAAUUUGGUAGCCAUAAUAAUUAACUUAUGAUAGUCAAUAUUUAAUAAUAUAUAUAAAGUUUAUCUAUUAUCUCUUAAAUAAUUUAAACUAUAAUCAUAAUUUUAAUAUAUUAAGAUUAAUAUUAUCUCUUUCACAAUUAUAUAAGAAAUCGUUUAAUAUAUAAAUUAAAUAAUACUAAUUAAUCUAAACCCUAAACCUUUAACCCCUACCCUUAAACCCUAAACUCUAAACCCAUAGCCCAUGUCCCUUUAACCCUUAAACCCUAAACCCUUAACCCCUAACCCCUAACCACUAAACUUUAAACCCAUAAUCCUUAAACUCAUAAUCCAUAAACCUUAAAAUAUUAACUCAUAAACUAUAAAACCCUAACCCCCUAUCCCCUUAACCCCUAACCCUUUAACCCCUAACCCCUAACCCCUAACCACUAACCACUAACCCCUAAACCUUAAACUCUAACCCUUAAACCCUAAACUCAUAACACUAAACCUUAAAAUAUUAACUCAUAAACCAUAAACCCUAAACUAUAUACCUUAAACCAUAAUGAUAAUUAAUUCAAUAUUUUAAAAUUAAUAUUAUCUCUUCUACGAUUAUAUAAGAAUUUAUUUAAUAUAUAAAUUGCCAAACAAUCAGUCAUAUACCCAAAAAGCUUUAAAAUUAUUUUAAAUAAUAGUAUUUUUAUUUUUUCAUUUUUAACAUAUAUUUUUAUAUGUUUUUAUUUUCAAAUUUUUUCUACGUGUCAUUAUUUUUUUCUGAAGAAUUUAAAUAUUCAAUUAAAAAUAAAUUGUAUUUUAAUUAAUAUAAAUAAACCAUUUAAAUAAUAACAGAUACAAUGUUUUUUGUGGCGUUUUCGUCACUAUAGAUCGAGCAUUAGCGACGCUUUUUUAAAAACACUGCUAAUGCUCGAUCUAUAGCGGCGUUUUUUAAAAAACGCCGCUAAUGCUCGAUCUAUAGCGGCGUUUUUAAAAAAAGCGCUGCUAAUUCUUGAUCUAUAGUGGUGUUUUUAAAAAAGCGCCGCUAAUGCUCGAUCUAUAGUGGCAUUUUUUAAAAAACACAGCUAAUGCCACUAAGGCUCAACAUAAAACGACGACGUCUUGGUGAAUUUUUUUAAUGCUCGACAUAUAGCGGCAUUUUUUAUUCAAACGUCGUGAAAAACCUGUUUUGCUGUAGUGCUUGAAUUCGAGGGUAGUUCAGAAAAAUAUCUACCUUUGGUAGAAUUUGCCUACAACAACAGUUUUCAGACAAGUUUCAAAAUGGCACCUUAUGAGGCAUUGUACGGUCAUAAGUGUCAGACACCGUUGUAUUGGACUGAACCCAGAGAGAAUUAGAUCCACAGGGUCGAUUUAGUCAGAGAAACCGGAGAAAAAGUAAAGGUAAUUCGUGAUAGUUUAAAAGCUGCUUCAAAUAUACAGAAAUCCUACGCAGAUUUGAAACGGAAAGAGAUUGAGUUUCAGGUCGGUGAUAAGGUAUUCCUGAAAGUGUCACCAUACACAAAACUGAUUAACGAUGCCAAUGUCCAAAACAUGGUCUUACACGUAAUCACAAUACAAUGCCAAUGUCUCAGACAUGGUCUUACAUGUAAUCACAUAUUGAUAACUUAAUGCCAUGACAUUCAUAUCAUAUACUAUUCCUAAGGUUCGUACAGGACUUUCGGAUAUCAUAACUUCGUCGAUUCUUGCUCGUAUUUGCUCAUUCAACAUUCAUAGCAAUUCAACAACAAUUAAACAUAUAUAAUUCAAUUUAAAGACAUUUAUAUGCAUAUGAACUUACCUCGUAGUCGGAAUAAAGGAGCCAGAUCGACUAUUUAAUAACUUUCGACUCUCCCUGAUCUAAAUCUGAUUUCUUUCGUUCUUAAUCUAUAUACAUUCAAAAUUAACUCUUUUAUUCAUCAACACAUUCAAUUUAGUCCACAAACACAUAUUUUAGCCAAUUUGCACUUUGGCCCUAAACUUUCACAUUUCUUUCAAUUUAGUCAUUAUUUCAUAAAAACGCAAAUUACACAAAAUUUGACAAAACCUAUGCUUUUCUAAAUUCUCUAAAGGUCCCCAGUAGCCCAUAUGUCAUAUUUAUUUCACAAUUUAAACCUUCAAUUUGCACUUUUCACAAUUUAAUCCUAUUUUGGCAUUUUCACUCAAAAUCACUUAACAAAACUUGAUAAUCUAUCAUUUAACUUCCAUAAUUCAUCAUCAAUUUUCACAAAGCUUAAGCAUUCAACAAUGGAAAUUCACAAAAUCAUCAACAAAUUCAAAAAUUAGGGUACGGGCUAGCUAGAACACAAAGCAAUGAUCACAAAAAUAUAGAAAUCAUCAAAAACCGAGCAAAAUUGCUUACCUAAUCAAGCUACCAAGUUGCCAAAAUGUUAAAGCUCAUAAACCCUUGCUUUCUCUUCUAAUUUCGGUUAAUGAAUAAGAAUAUGGACAAAAUGUGAUGUUUAUUUUAUUUAAUAAUAACUUAUUUCACAUUUUACCAUAUUAUCCUUAAUGAAAAACCAUUAAUAAUUCAUAUUUCAUGUCCAUUAAAGUCCACUAACCUUAACAAUAGUUUAAUAAUAACAUAAGGACUCCCACCAAUUAAUAUCUUAUCCAUUUAGUAGCUUUAACAAAUAGAACAUCAUUUUUAUGCUUUACGUAAUUUAGUCCUUUUUACCGAAUUGAACAUUCAAAUGAUAAAAUUAUUUCACGAGAUUUUCACGCAUAAACAAUCACAUGUUAUAAACACCAAGAAUAAUAUUAAAAUAAUUUUCUAACCUCGAAUUUUUGGUCCCGAAACUACUAUUUCGAUUUAGCUAAAACCCGGCUGUUACAACUUUCCCCCCUUAGGGAUUUUGGUCCUCGAAAAUCUUACCAGCGAAUAGUCUGGAUAUUGCUUUCUUGUAGCAUCCUUGGGUUCCCACGUAGCUUCUUCUAUCUCGUUUCGAUGCCAUAACACUUUUGUAUGGUGAGACAUGUCAUGUUUAUACUGAUCAUAAAAUUUUAAAGUACUUAAUGACUCAAAAGGAUUUGAAUUUGAGGCAAAGGAGAUGGUUGGAAUUGUUAAAAGAUUAAGAGUUAGUGAUUGACUACCAUCCGGGAAAGGGGAACGUGGUUGCCGAUGCCUUGAGUAGGAAAUCCUUGUUUGCAUUGAGGGCUAUGAAUACACGGUUGACUUUAUCAGAUGAUGGUUCUAUUCUAGCUGAGUUAAGAGCUAGACCGAUGUUUCUCCAAGAGAUUUAUGAAGCUCAGAAAAGUGACAGUGAUUUGCAAGACAAGAGAGUUCAGUGUGAGUCGAGUAUUGAAUCAGAUUUUGGGAUUGAUUCCGAUGGUUGCUUGAUGUUCCGAGAUAGGAUUUGUGUUCCUAAAAAUACUAAGUUGAUUCAAAAGAUUUUGUAUGAGAAAAAUAGUAGUUGUUUGUCUAUUCAUCUAGGUAGUACGAAAAUGUACAAUGACUUGAAGAAAUUGUAUUUGUGGCCGAGUAUGAAAAGAGAUAUUUCCGAAUUUGUAUUGGUGGUCGAGUAUUAAAAGAAAGAUGCCAUUUGGGUUGUGGUUGAUAGACUAAUGAAGUCGACUCAUUUUAUUCCGGUAUGUACCGAUUACUCACUUGAUAAGUUAGCUAAGUUGUACAUUGGUUAAAUUGUUAGAUUGCAUGGAGUUCCUAUCUCGAUUAUAUCGGAUAGAGAUCCGAGGUUCACUUCGUGGUUUUGGAAGAAGUUGCAAGAAGCUUUAGGUACAAAGUUGAACUUUAGUACCUCUUUUCAUCCUCAAACUAGCGUUUAGUCUGAGUGAGUAAUUCAGAUCCUUGAGGAUAUGCUCCGGUGUUGUAUCCUUCACUACAGCAAAACUAACUUUUAGCGGCAUUUUUUAAGGCCUUUAGCAAGCGCCGCUAAAACUAUUUGCGGCGUUUUUACAAGCGCCGUAAAAAACGCCGCUAUAGAUAACGCCACCAAAGUUUACGGCGUUUAUUUGAAAAAACGCCACUGAAGAACAUGACCUUUAGUGGCGCUUUCUCGACAAACGCCGCUAAAUGUCAUGUUCUUUAGCAGCGCUUUUCCCAAAAACGCCGCUAAAGCUCAUGAAAUUUAAAAAUAAUAAUAAUAUAUUAUAAAGGUCAUGAAAAAUAUAAAAAAAUUAAAAUUCAUUAUCAAAAUAUUGAGAAGAAUAAUAUCCAUGAUAUAAAUAUAAAAAUUUUCUAUUAAAAUUUUAACUUUAAAACUAAAUACAAAAAUUAAUGAAUUUAAAUUUAGAAUUUAAAAUAAUAUAUUAAUAAUACAAUUAAAAUCCAAAAGUUAGAACUCAAGUUAUCUUAAAUAUUAAAAUAAAAAUAAAAAUUUAGAAUCAAAACUAAAAUAAAUAAUAAAAAUACAAUUAAAUAGAAAGAUGUCAUAAAAAUAAGAUAUAAUGAAGUUACUUAAAUGAAAUAAGGACUUAAAUCAUAACCAUGUAAAAUAUAAUAUUUGAAUAUCCAUUCCCAUGUGAAAUAUCAACAUUGAUUAUUUAAAUUGAUUAACUAAGGCAAAAUUGCAAUUCGUAUUUUUCUUCUUUCAAUUCAAAUAAAAAUAAAAUGUUGAAACAAAAUAAUUAAAUAAAAAAUAUAAUAAUUAGUUGACACGAGAUUAUUAUUAAGUAUAUGCAAAUAUGCAAGUGACGGUUACAAAACAGGGUGUAGUUUUUGAUCAACUAAUUAGUUGAUCCUACUGCAGGUUCUAUCUAUAAUCUGCUUAACUAACAUACAAACAUAAGGCACUCUAAUACUUUUUUGCACAUAAAAUAUCUAAAAGUCACACCUAAAUUCGGAUUCAGAGCACAAACAGUGUCAACUGCAUGUUGAUCAAUAUCAUCCUUAUUCGCUGCUGCAAUGCCUCCCACAAGCAUUCGUAGAGGUAGGAGCUAGUCAUUAUGUGCCUUCUACAAAUUGUUCUUGGACAGCAAUCUAGUGUAGUUGGUUUUUCCUGUUCCAUUUGCCACCAGUCAAUACAUAAAAGAGCUAUUGCCACACAAAAAGCAAUCAUCAAAACAAUAUCCAAUAAAACAAUAUACAGUUAAAUUAUGAGAAUGUAAAGAAUACAAAACAAUACCGUUGUUCUUAGAUCCCACAACAUUACUUUCCCAUCAUAAGAUGAAGAAAGUAAAUGAAGAGGAGACGUAUUGUGCCACUUGCAAGCUGAAAUCCAAUAACUAUGUGAAGAGAACUGAAACACGGGCGCCGAUGUUCCUUGAAAAGUAUAAAAAAGUUUCAAGUGAGAUAGAGUUUUAGUGGUUUCAUGUGCCUGCACAUGCAACAAGUAGGAGAAAAAGAAGUGAAAAGAAAAAAAUGAAAGAAACCUAAGAAAUAGUAUCCUUUUACCCUUUUUUUCUCGGAUGAACAAAAAUGGUACAUCCAAAAAUGGAACAUCCAAACAUCAAAUUAACAAUAAUGAUUAUGAAAAAGAGCUCAUUCAACUAAUUUGAUAUAAUUUAAUCAAUUAAUUCAAUAGUAAAUUAAUUUAAUAGUUAAAAUGCUAAAAUUUAUAUUUUUAAAAUAUAUAAAUUCUAAUAAUAAAAUUCAAAUCAGCAUUUUGAUAAAGUCAACAAUACUAACUGAUUGAACUAACAGUUAACAAUGAAAUUAAAUUAUGUCAAAUCAAAGUAUAAGGAUUAAAUAUUAAAUUUUAGCAUGAUAGAGGGAGAAAACUAUAAUUUGACGAUUUUAUUGGUUAUUUCAAUUUAAUUUCAAUUUAUUCAAAUAAAUUGAUUUCAAUUUGAUUCACUCUUUGUAAGUUAGAAAACUAUAAUCAUCUAAACCAAACUAAAUUCUAUUUUUAUUUAUUUUAUAACUAAUUUCUUUUACAAAUAUAAAAAUAAAAAAAAUAUUUAAAUUAGUAAAAAAAUUAAAAUCCUUUAUACAAAUAUAUUUUAAAAACUAAUUAAUCAAAUGUAUACAACGUUAAUUAGUGCUAAGAAGUGGUAUUUACCUCACAUAUCAAAGAUCUUUCAGUCUGCACCAUAUCAUUAAAAAUAAGUUCAAAUUACAAAUGAUCAACACAAGAAGCAUACUUCUUGAUGGCAUUUCUAUCUACCUAAUCCUCAUUAAUAUAUUUUAUAUAUUUCUUAUGCAUCAUGUUAUUUCUUUGUUUUUUUCCAUUACUUUAUAUUGUGUUUUAUUACAAUCUAUGCUAAUACAAUAUGCAUGAGACUUAGUUUGCAACAAGAGGACAAGCAUGGAUGUAGCCAAAUCAUCUAGCAAAUCAUAAAAUAUGGGACUACAGUACAAAUUCUAUUUAAUAGAAUUAUACUGAAGAUGGAUAUUCUUGAACAACAAAAAGGCUUCAUAACAAUAUAAACCAAAAAGAAACUUACCCUGGGCAGUUCCAAUCCCCUUUCUUCAUUUGAACAUCAUCCGUAGCAACCCUCUUUGGACCCUCUGCUUUACAGUUUAAGCACCUUGUAUUUCUAGAAAAGUUCAUGAAGCUGCACCUAUAACAUAAAAAGCAAUGAAUACCCAAGGUAGAAUAGAGAUAGGACAGUUAAGUGUAAAGUCCAAAAGAUAGAUAUAAGCAUUCAUACAUAUAGGCAUUCACACAUAAAAUGAAUUCUUAACCAACCUGCAAUGUACAAGAAGUAACAGAUAGCCAUUUGAUACUUGAUAAGGCUACUAACAAACUGAUACAAAAAUUAUCAAUGACACAAAAAGGAAUCAUAAGAAAAGAGCAUGUGGAUAAAAUUAACAUUACAAUUUAAAAAAAAACGAAAAUAAAAAAAAUAAAAGAUUAACUAACCUUUUGAUUAUCUAGGCUUUCUGUGUAUUUGAGUAGUAUUUGUAGUUUGAAUUUGGUUUCUUAGAUCUCGAGUGGUAACUGAUAGAGCAGUUGAAAGAAAAUAAAAGGGGAAUGAACUUGAUACAACAUUACUACUGAUAGAUAUGAUAAAAUUGGAACUAUACAAGACAUAUUUGGCAGCAAUGAAUUCUAUAACUCAAACAUAUUCAAGAUCUAAACACACAUCUGCCCUUGGAUUAAGUUUACCUCAUUUCUUUGGCCAAAGGCUAUAUCUGACUUUGGCAAGAUCAUAUAUAUAUAUGUAUAUAUUUUUUGAGUUACAGAAUUGAUCAAUCAGUGAAUAAAAAUAGCAGGUUCAUGAUGUCUGUCAAGACAAAAUAUGUAAUGCCAUAAUCUAAACAUGAUAGAAAAACUAUGAUCUACUAACACAACUUAAAGGAAUUUGAUUUAAGCAACUUGAUAACCAUUUCAUGGAAGAUAAGAAGUCCUUCAAGGGAAGGCAAAGCCCUUAUUAGUUUUAUUAUCAAAGGACAGUGAAGUGAAGGUCAUGAUUUUUGUAAAAGCCAACCCACUUCUUUAAAUGAUGAAAGGACACACCAAUACUAAUGACACGCCACUUCUUUAAAUCAAAUCAUUAUGAUAAAAACAUAAAAAAAUAACUUAACAAAAUAAUUAAUGAGUAACAAAAACAACUUUUCAUUUUAUAAAGCUUUCAAAAAGUUUGGUAGUCAUGGACAUGGAGAUACAAGAUAAUGCAAUUCAUACGAUGUAUAAUGAUGUCAUUCAAAUGAUACAGCUUAGAACUAAAAAAUUAAGCUGAAUAUACUCAACAAUUUUAGGAUUGGGAUUAAGGAGCUUCUUUAUUAAUGAAUUUUCCUCUGGACAAAACCAAAAUGGAGAAGAAAAUUGACCAGCACUAAUCUGCACGUUGAACAGAGAAAUAGUUAGUUUCACAGCUAACACCACAAUGAUUAAAAUGGAAGAAAAGAGGAGAUUCAAGUGUGGCCACUGGAAGAUCUCUAUUGGAACUUGUAGUGAAGAAGGAAGAUAGACAAAACUAUAGUGCAAGUUGUGUUUUCUGUGCUUUCGUUAGAUGAACAUGGUGCAUGGGAAAUACCGAAAGGAAGCAUAAAAGGAGGGCAUAAAGCAUGAAAUAGCAAAAAGUUCUUAAUCAGAGAUAAAGGUGAAUCGUUUUUUAAUAGCAAGAAUCUAUACUUAUUAGGCAAUUAAUAUGACAGCAUAUUUAAAAACUAUUACAAGAAUUUGACCAAGUAUGAAUCCCAAUAUUCCUCACUUUAAACCUUUUUAAUCCUUUUUUUGGUUUUCAUUCUUUUCACCUGAAUGUCUAGAAUCGUUCCACCAAUACUACUAAAUAACAAGUUCUUUUUCUACCUUAUCACAACAAAACAAGCAGAAAUUCAUUUUAUGAAAUGAAAGAAACAAGUAUCAUGCAGUAAGAAAGAACAACUAGGAAAAAGUAAAUAUUUUUGUUGGCUUUUCUAAUUUAAAAAUCUAAAUACACAAAAGCGUAUAGUGGAUUUGUUAUUGCAAACAAACAAACAACAAAUUGGAACAGUGCACGUAGACUUCUGCUGCUGCCUUAAUUUGCUUUAGACUAAAUUAGUAAUAAUCCCUGCGGGGUUUUUAAAUUUUCUUUAUAUUAUCUACAUUCUCUUUGGUGUCUACUUGAUAUCAACUUAAUUAAAAAAAUCAGAAUUUAAUUACAAUAAACUGAUAAAAAAUGCAGUUAAUAAAUAGAUUUUUUUAUGAAUGUGUUUAAAAUUUCUUCUUUUUCAUCCCAAUACGAAGUUGAAAUUUUUUUAAGACUAACCUAACCCCACUCGGCUGAAUUAACUCAUUGGCAUAAAAAGUGAAAAACAAAGAGAAAAUUAAGAUUUGGGGGAGAAAUAAUAUGGAGCAACAUAAUGAAUUUCAAUUCAGGAGAAGUCAAAUGGGAAGCAGAGUUGAAUCAACACAGACCAAAGCCUGAAGCUUUAGAAAUAUUUCCAGGCAUUUUAAAAAUAAUGUGAUUGAAAUUCAUUUUUUUUACAGACUUGAUAUAAGCUACAGAAAGCGAAAUUUACCGAUUGGUUGCGGCAGCGGAGAGCGAUGACGACGGGACGCAGCAGAGACGACAAAGGAUGGCGAUGAGUAGGUGGUCAAGUCGACUGAGGAGCUUAAGAUGCCUAGGGAUUUUAGGGGAAAUUUAGGGAUUAGGGGAAAUGCAAAGAAUUGGGGAAAUGUGUUUUGGGGUUUUGUUAAAAUGGCUAAGUGUUUGGGAAAUGUUGUUUUGGGCUUUUGGGGGAAAUGGCUAAGUGUCAG